GAUGAACGCUGGCGGCGUGCCUAAUACAUGCAAGUCGAGCGAACAGAUGAGGAGCUUGCUCCUCUGACGUUAGCGGCGGACGGGUGAGUAACACGUGGAUAACCUACCUAUAGGACUGGGAUAACUUCGGGAAACCGGAGCUAAUACCGGAUAAUAUAUUGAACCGCAUGGUUCAAUAGUGAAAGACGGUUUUGCUGUCACUUAUAGAUGGAUCCGCGCCGCAUUAGCUAGUUGGUAAGGUAACGGCUUACCAAGGCAACGAUGCGUAGCCGACCUGAGAGGGUGAUCGGCCACACUGGAACUGAGACACGGUCCAGACUCCUACGGGAGGCAGCAGUAGGGAAUCUUCGGCAAUGGGCGAAAGCCUGACGGAGCAACGCCGCGUGAGUGAUGAAGGUCUUCGGAUCGUAAAACUCUGUUAUUAGGGAAGAACAAAUGUGUAAGUAACUAUGCACGUCUUGACGGUACCUAAUCAGAAAGCCACGGCUAACUACGUG
rnacentral:rRNA from 1 species